CCUACGGGAGGCAGCAGUGGGGGAUAUUGCACAAUGGGGGAAACCCUGAUGCAGCGACGCCGCGUGGGUGAAGAAGCGCCUCGGCGCGUAAAGCCCUGUCAGCAGGGAAGAAAAUCACGGUACCUGAAGAAGAAGCCCCGGGUCACUACGUGGCAGAAGCCGGGGUUAUACGUAGGGGGCAACCGUUAUCCGGAUUUACUGGGUGUAAUGGGGGCGCAGACGGCGUUGCAAGCCAGGAGUGAAAGCCCGGGGUCCAACCCCGGGACUGCUGUUGGAACUGCGUGGCUAGAGUGCAGGAGGGGUAGGCGGAAUGCGUGGUGUAGCGGUGAAAUGCGUAGAUAUCAGGAGGAACACCGGUGGCGAAGGCGGCCUGCUGGACUGCAACUGACGUUGAGGCACGAAAGCGUGGGGAGCAAACAGGAUUAGAUACCCGAGUAGUC
rnacentral:rRNA from 1 species